rnacentral:rRNA from 1 species
UACGUAGGUGGCAAGCGUUGUCCGGAAUUACUGGGCGUAAAGCGUGCGCAGGCGGCGCGUUAAGACAGGUGUGAAAGCCCCGAGCUUAACUUGGGAAUUGCGCUUGUGACUGGCGUGCUGGAGUGUGGCAGAGGGGGGUGGAAUUCCGCGUGUAGCAGUGAAAUGCGUAGAGAUGCGGAGGAACACCGAUGGCGAAGGCAGCCCCCUGGGCUAACACUGACGCUCAGGCACGAAAGCGUGGGGAGCAAACAGG